rnacentral:rRNA from 1 species
UACGUAGGGGUGCAAGCGUUGUCCGGAAUUAUUGGGCGUAAAGAGCUCGUAGGCGGUCUGUCGCGUCUGCUGUGAAAACUCAGGCUUAACCCUGAGCUUGCAGUGGGUACGGGCAGACUAGAGUGCGGUAGGGGAGACUGGAAUUCCUGGUGUAGCGGUGAAAUGCGCAGAUAUCGGGAAGAACACCCGUGGCGAAGGCGGCUCUCUGGAACGCA